rnacentral:rRNA from 1 species
UACGUAGGGGGCGAGCGUUGUCCGGAUUUACUGGGCGUAAAGCGCGUGUAGGCGGCCCGUUAAGUGGGGUGUGAAAGCCCGAGGCUCAACCUCGAGACGCCGAUGGAAACCGUCUGGCUAGAGUCCGGAAGAGGAGAGUGGAAUUCCUGGUGUAGCGGUGAAAUGCGCAGAUAUCAGGAAGAACACCCGUGGCUAAGGCGGCUCUCUAGUACGGUACUGACGCUGAGACGCGAAAGCGUGGGGAGCGAACAGG